rnacentral:rRNA from 1 species
CGCUCUUUGUGAAAAAUUAAGAGUAAGGUCUGCCCAAUGAUAUUUAAAUGGCCGCGGUAUUUUGACCGUGCGAAGGUAGCAUAAUCAUUAGUCUAUUAAUUGUAGGCUGGAAUGAAAGGCUAGAUAGAGAGAGACUGUCUUUUUUAUUAUAAUGAAUUUUAGUUUUAUGUGAAGACGCAUAGAUGUAGUUAGGGGACGAGAAGACCCUAUUAAGCUUUAUAUCUAAACUUUAGAAAAUUAAUAGAGGGAAGUAUUAUGUUGGGGCGACAGUAAAUAAAACGUUUAUUAUACUAUAAAUAAUAUAAUUAAAUUUUUAAUGAUCCAUAUAUUUGAUUAAAAGAAUAAGUUACUAUAGGGAUAACAGCGUAAUCUUACUGGAGAGUUCAUAUUGAUGGUAAGGAUUGCGACCUCGAUGUUGAAUUAGGAUACCCGGGAGGUGUAGCAGUUUUCAAGGGUGGUCUGUUCGACCAUUAAAUUCCUACA